UCCGAUUUGUCACCGGCAGUCUCCCUAGAGUCCCCACCACCCCGAAGGGCAUGCUGGCAGCAUAGGACGAGGGUUGCGCUCGUUGCGGGACUUAACCCAACAUCUCACGACACGAGCUGACGACAGCCAUGCACCACCUGUACACCGACAAAAAGGGGCCCCAUCUCUGGGGCUUUCCGGCGUAUGUCAAACCCAGGUAAGGUUCUUCGCGUUGCAUCGAAUUAAUCCGCAUGCUCCGCCGCUUGUGCGGGCCCCCGUCAAUUCCUUUGAGUUUCAGCCUUGCGGCCGUACUCCCCAGGCGGGGCACUUACUGCGUUAGCGACGGCACUCAGAGGGUCGCUCCCCCAAGCACCUAGUGCCCAUCGUUUACGGCGUGGACUAC
rnacentral:misc_RNA from 1 species